UCACCGAGCCCUUUCUACUUAGUGAUGCAAGCUCGCCAACGACCGUGGUGUCCUUCACUGAUUCUCAAGCCCCAAGUUGGGCACAAAUCUUUCGGAGCCUGCCAGCAGAGACGAACGGUUCUUGAGUUGGGAGUGAGGAUUAAAAUUAAUAAACUAACACACAGCACACAGGAGACUUUUUAAGAGGUCCCAGACUCUACAGCCGUAGCAGCAGCCUACCUUUUUUAAUUGCAGAGAGCUUUUAAGCCAGAGUAAAAACAACUCAGAACAAUGGGUUAAAUCUACAAGGAAGAGAAGCAAGAGGUGUGAUCUUCACAAGCUAUCCCACCUGCUGUCACAAACAAAAGGAGAUGGACUUACAAAUUCUUCUCUGACUUCAGUGAAGGCCUGGUAAAAGCAGUCUUUCUGCUGAGAUUUAAAUAUCAAAACAGCUGCCAGAGCCACCACUCCCAACAGUACACCUGAAGAUUUUUGAUUUGUAAUGGAAGACUGUCUUAAGUUCAUAUCAAUAUUUGCAGACUGAGAGCUCUAAAUUGGUCUUUGAGCUUCUAUGUUCACUUUUCUUUCCUCCAGUGAUUGAUUAUUUGCUUGGAUGAUAUUUUGGCUUUAGAUUUAACCUGGAUACUCUCACACUGCAGAACCAAGGCUAUCUCCUUUCUUAUUUGAUGACUACUUUGCAUAGGUCCCUACAAGCCAGCCCAGCUUCUCAUAUUUUAUAAACCAGACCUUUGCCAAUGAGAACUGAAAAGCAUCAGACAGGCAGUGGCAUGAAGAUGGAGUCACAGUUCCAGGUCUUCAUAUUCCUGCUCCUCUGGAUGUCUGAUGCUGAAGGGAACAUUGUGAAGACUCAGUCUCCUGAAUUCAUGUUCGCAUCUGUUGGAGACAGAAUCACCCUAAGCUGCAAGUCCAUUCAGAGUGUGGGUAGUUAUGUAGAUUGGUACCAACAGAAAUCAGGGCAGCCUCCUAAACUGCUAAUCUAUGAUGCAUCCACUCGAUACACUGGGGUCUCUGAUCGCUUCAUAGGCAGUGGAUCUGGGACAGAUUUCACUCUUUCCAUCAGCAGUGUGCAGGUUGAAGACCUGGCAGUUUAUUACUGUCAGCAGCGUUACAGCUGUCCUCUCACAGUGCUUCAGCUUCCAACACAAACCUCCUUGAGAGUCUCACCAGCUGCCUGCACCACAAACAACACUGGGCAUGCACACUUCCCCUUUCUGCUGGAGAUCUUGCACUUGUCAGAAUGGUUAAGAUCAACAACACAAGUAACAUUUCAUGCUGGUUAG